rnacentral:rRNA from 1 species
UAUAAGCGUAUACCAAAGUUGUUGCAGUUAAAACGCUCGUAGUCGGACUUUGGCAGUUCCGGAUGUGUGCACGUCGUGUGCGCACUUCGCGGGGAUUGCUUUUGUGGUCUUGCGUAGGAUGAGGCACUUUUAUUAGUGAACGUCCUCACGCAACCACUUUUUACUGUGAGAAAAUCAGAGUGCUCAAAGCAGGCAUUUGCCGUGAAUGUAUUAGCAUGGAAUAAUAGAAUAGGACUUGGUUCUAUUUUGUUGGUUUGUUGGGACUGAGUAAUGAUUAAGAGGGACAGUUGGGGGCAUUUGUAUUUCGGUGCUAGAGGUGAAAUUCUUAGAUUACCGAAAGACAAACUGCUGCGAAAGCGUCUGCCAAGGAUGUUUUCAUUGA